GCGCCGAACUCCUGCACCUGCUGUGAUUCUGCUGAAGAAAGAUGGCUUUUAUUAAAGAUGAGACUGAAGAUAUGAAGAUAAUUAUUAAAGAUGAGACUGAGGACAUGAAGAUUGAAGAUAUUGAGGAACAAACAGUUUUCAGCUCUUCCUGAUGCUCUUCUGAUGGGAAUAUUCCAGCAUUUAUUGAUGAACUGCUGUGGGAGGAGCUUCAUUGAUGAUGUGCCUACUGUGGGAGGAGCUUCACUGAUGACGUAACUGCUGUGGGAGGAGCUUCAUUGAUAGUGCUCUGUAGUGGGCAGAGCUUCACUGACUGAACUGCAGAUUGGUUGGAGGAGAUGAUCUGCCCAAAUCAAAAAUAUCAGUUAUUGUGUUUGUUUUUAUAGGGUUAAAGACCAGAAAUCAAAUUUUAGUAUCUGCAUCAAAUUAAAUGUACAAAAGCGAAUUUAAAUAGAAAAUCCAUUAAAUGCAAGUGUCUAUUUUAGUUUCAAAUUACUUUUGUGAAAACCAAAUGUAUUAAUGUCCAAUCAUCAUUUAGUGUAACAGAUAUAUUUAUGUAAAAAUGAAACAACAUUCAUUUUGACCAGUACUUAAUAAAGUAUAUAAAAGAGUAAGAGAUCAUACUAAAUUUCAUUAUAUUUUAAAUUAUUAAAAAACUUAUUGUUGACAAAUGAGUGAAAGCUAGUGGUUUGAAUGAUAGUGAUAACGUAUAAAGAUUUAAAAUGACAAUUAAAGAGUAUUUUGGGCUUCACUGUGAUCCUUCAAUACAGUGUUUGAAUGUCAGAAAAUGAUUCUCUUUCUAAAUAUGCCUGACGCUAAUGGCACUCAUCUUCAACAACCACUGCUGCUAAACAUUUUACCAAAUAAAAACUAAACAUUUAGUUUUAGAUAAAUUAAUUUAUUUAAUUAAUUGCACAAUGUAGUGAUUAAAUCACAAUUUAAUCGCAUGUCAAAUUUGGCUGAGAAAUUACCCCCAAAAGAUCAUCUAAGAGACAUUACUAAAAGUAGCUUUAAAUAUUUUAUUUGAUUCAACAUGAGGGUGAGUAAAUGAUAUUUAUUAAUAUGGAAAUACGAUUUAUUUAUUGAAGUUAUACUCUAAAAAAGAACCUAAAACUACCAGUAGGUGGCAGUAAAUGUCUUAAUGAGUGAUUCAUUGAGUCCUUCAUUCAUUUGAUUCGUUCAAACUGAUGAUUCAUUCAGGAAUUAAGUAAAGGGCUCUCUUUAUGAGUGCACCACUAAAUCAUUGAUUCACCCGAUUUCAUUCAGAAACAAAACGAAACACAACAUCAUUUAACAAUAACAUCAUAUAAUAACAACAUCAUACUAAAUUAAAAACAAAACAUUUAUAAUAGUUUUAGAUAAAUGGCUAUAUUAAUAAAAACAUGCUCCAGAAAGUGAUAAUGAUGUCCAUUCAGUGAAUGAAAGCUUUACAAAAAUUGCAAAUAGUUUAAGUAGAAAUCUAAGAUCUCAGAGUUUUUCUCUAAGUGAGAUCUUUCCAGCAGGAUUUGUGAGUCUGAGACGGGGAUAGUUUUCAGUUUCUGCACAUAAAACUGUUACAUGUUAAAUCUCUAAUUACUGUAUUACAAUGAAUCUUAUCAUAAAAUCAAACCAUGUUUCAUAGUUAUAGUUAAUUCAUACUUAUUUAGCAGCAGUGGUUGCUGAAGAUGAGUGUCAUUAGGGUUUGUUUUUGUAUUAUUGGUGUUUUAUCCGUGUCAUGUUGUGAGAAAUAACAGUAUUGUCUUUCAAUAGAGCAGUUUAUAAGAUUUUCUCAUAUAUCCUGACUCCAAUAAUCAGUUUCUAACAGCAAACACUCAGAAUAAAGUGAGAUUGAUGUGAAUGUCUUGUUGAAUGAGUGUUGAUAGUCUGAGGAUCAUCAAUAUUAACAGAGAAACUGCUGAAAACACUCUUUAUUUCAUGUCAAUAGUUCCUGUUUUCACCUCAUUUAUUAUGCUGAUGUCUUCAGAUCUGCUGUAAAUUGACACUUAAAGCUCAUUUCAUUGCUGUCAGCAGACUGAGGUGAUUUAAUGACUACAGAUAUGUACAAUUAUUUUUGUCUUUGUGUAGAACUGUUUUCCUUACCAUUAUCCAUAUUUGGAAUAAUUUUGUUACAUUAUAUUCUGUUAUCACUUAUAUAUAUAAAAAAUAAACCCCGUAACUGAUAUAUUUUUUUAUU